rnacentral:lncRNA from 1 species
GGGACGCCGAGGGGAGGAGGAGGAGGCGGCUCGGAUGGCUGGCUCGGCUCUCGCUCGCUCUCCCUCCCAUGGGCAAGUCCGGCUCACACCCUGCUUCUCCCGCUCACUCACAGCCCCCUUGGCUCUCCCUCCUCCUCCUCCUUCCCCUGCGGGAUCCGCUCGCCGCCGCCGCCGCCGCCGCAGACGGCAAGUCGUGGCAGCCAGACGUCGGCGCGUAACCCGGCGCUCCGUGCGUGACUCCAGGCGACGUCAGCGCGCGCUCCGCGUUCCCCACCCCUCCUCCCAACUCCGUGGCUCGCGCCCUUCGCUCUCGCGUCCCUCCGUUUUAGCUGCCGCCGCGGCGGCCGCCGAGCGCGCUCUUUCCGCCCCCUUCUCGCGCGUGAGCGCGCCCUAUCGGCUCCUGGCGCGUCAACAUUCCGCGGGCCAGGCCUUGGGGCGCGUCUGAGGAGGGGGAUGUCUGUGGCCUCUCCGCCCACACUUCCUCCACCCACCGCCCACAGCGCCCCAGAAGGACCUAUUACUCGUUUGGCUUCUGAAGGCCGAAGCCAGGCUCUGGCGGGGAUAGAACCCUGAAGGGCCUGCGCCAGCUCCAACUUAGGGCCCUGUGCGUCGUUGCGACUUCUGCUACCACCCUAUCACGCGGCACCCCCGCCCCAACUCCGCCCGGGUCUCUGAAGAGGCAAUAGGCCUUUCAUCUCCGGGGAAAGUCUCACCUUGGCCCUCAGACACCCGCCAAGAGGGGUCGGAAGGACAGAAUUAGCAUAGAGAAGAGUGGCUAGAGCACUUUUCAGGCUCUGGCCCCAGGAAUCCUUGACAGGAAGCGUGGGGUUGCUGCCCAGCCUCCCACGCAGUGUAAUAUGUUGAAGCCGGGCCCCUUUGAGGGAAUGCGACUUCCUUGGGCCGAGGGGGAAAGGGUAAAAGUUAAUUUUCAUAAAAUGCUAUGCAAGGGCUAAAUGUGAAAUUAUAAAAUGUCCUUUAAGACAGUCUUCUUGAAAUCGUAUCAAGUUUGACAAGAUUUUUGGUGCACGGUAACGCUUUUGCUCGCUUUCUACGCUGUCACGUCUCCAUCCUGCAACACUGAAUACGUAGAUGGAACGUGGAUCAGCUAAUAACUGCAGCAAAAUAAAAACUGCAUUUAUCAUCUUUAUCAUUAUUUAAAUAGACCUCCGAGAAGUCAAACUGUGAUUUAGGAAAACUUAAUCAUUGCCUCAACCUAUUUAACUAUUUUGUUUUGAAGUUACUUUGCAAAUAUACCACAAAAUCCCUCUUUGUUAGGCAGUGGUAGACUUUUAAACUCACUUGUUAGAGAAUCUUUCCCAGAAGCAUAUCUAGUUGAGCCUGCGAGGCAAGUAGGACUAAGGUAUAAUUACUCCCAUUUUACAGAUGAAAAUUUAGUUAUCAAAAUGUAAGUCAGUUGUUCAGCAUUGUGAGGAGUCUAUCACUGAUAAAGGGAAAACUCUAAGGUCUAUUAUUGCCUGCUUUAUUCACUAAACCAGAAAUCUCUCAAUUGUUUUUUUCCAAGUAUCUUUUGCUGCCUCUUACGUAUUGUAGGCAGUGCCUGAUGGCUGAGAAGAAUCGCAGAGGACUAGAAAAGGUUUGAGUCUGAAAUUAUCUGGCACAGAGGAUUAAAGCUCAGAAAUAAGUGAUUGCGAAACAGUUCAACUUCCCUGUUAAUGACAACAACAACAGCAACACGCUUAUUAAUUCCUAGCUGGAGCAUCAAGCUUAUGAAGAUUUCCAAGACUUUAUUGUUGACCCUUGUUGAAGAGAACUCUACUUGGCUUCUUUCCUGGCUUUCCUAAAUUGUUCACAUACAAGAUAAACUACCGUCAUUCAGACUUACAGAAGUGAGAAGACAAGCUGAACCAAAUGUAAAAUGGUAGCAAUUUACAGAUGUCAGAACUAACAUGUGGAUGAACUUAGAGAUGGAGAAGAAAGCUGGGCUUUUCCAAAGAGUGGAUCUAUCUGAACUGGAUAGCACUAUUGAACUUUGUUGCAUAUUUUGUGGUAGCUCUAAAACUCCUCUGCUUGCUUACAUACAACCAGACACCAGUGCCUUCUGAAGCUAAUCCAGGCCAUUUUUAUAACCUAAUGCAGUAGCACUUUGCAAUUAGAUGAAGAAGAUCGGUGGGAUUUCUUUCUGUGGUGAUUAAAAUGUGUCAGGGGAAGAAAUCAAGACAAUACUCCAAGUGAAAAAUAUAAAGUCAGUUAUUUCUUUAAUAUUUUGUGUUAUAGUAAUCAUUUUUAUAUUUUGAGCAUACUUUUUCUUGUCUACUUAAAUACUCAAAAUUAAUUAUAAAAUGUAAAUGUAAGCACAAUGAGAUACCAUCUCAUCCCAGUUAAAAUGGCUUUUAUCAAAAAGAUAGGGAAUAAUGAAUACUGGUGGAAGGAUGUGGAGAAUGGGGAACCCUCGUACACUGUCAAUGAGAAUGUAAAUUAGUACAGCCACUAUGGAAAACUGUAUGGAAGUGCCUCCGAAAACAAAGUAGAACUACCAUGUGAUCCAGCAAUUACACUAGUGGGUAUAUAUUCAAAAGAAAGGAAAUCAACAUAUUAAAGAGAUAGCUGCAUUCUCAUGUUUAUUGAAGUCCUGUUGAAAUAGCCAAAAUAUGGAAUCAACCUAAGUGCCCAUCAGUGGAUGAAUGGUUAAAGAAAAUGUGAUUGAUAUGCAAUGGAAUAUUAUUCAGCCAUAAAAAAGAAUGAAAUCCUGGCGGGGCACAGUGGCUCAUGCAAGUAAUCCCAGCACUGACCUCAUGAAGACAGAGAGUAGAUUGGUGGUUACCAGAGGUUGAGAAGGGGAGAGGAGAGGAGGGAUGAAGAGAGGUUGAUUGAUGGAUAGAAAUAUACAGUUUGAUAAUGAUAAAUCAGUAGGGUGACUAUAGUUUAUAAUAACCUAUUGUAUGGUUCAAAAUAGCUAAAAGAGAAUAAUUGAAAUAACGUAAGACAAAAAUUUAAGAUGAUAGAUAUCCCAAUUACACUGAUUUGAUCUUUACAAAUUAUAUGAAUGUAUUAAAUUAUUACAUGUAUCCCCAAAAUAUGUACAAGUAUUUUGUAUCAAUAAAAAAUAAAAUUUAAGAUAAAGUAAAUGUAAUGAUUAGCUUAUAUUUCCUAGAUCGGAAAUAAAUAUUUACUUAAGUAAAAAAAAAAAAAAAA